GGUUGUGUAGUAUAGUGGUGAGUACAAUUCGUUGUGGCCGAAUAGACCCAGGUUCGAUUCCUGGCACAGCCA
rfam:Fungal sp. No.14919 DNA, contig: Contig0031.